rnacentral:rRNA from 1 species
CUACGGGAUGCUGCAGUGGGGAAUAUUGGGCAAUGGGCGAAAGCCUGACCCAGCAACGCCGCGUGAAGGAAGAAGGUUUUCGGAUCGUAAACUUCUAUCCCAGGUGAAGAUAAUGACGGUAGCCUGGAAGGAAGCCCCGGCUAACUACGUGCCAGCAGCCGCGGUAAUACGUAGGGGGCAAGCGUUGUCCGGAAUGAUUGGGCGUAAAGGGCGCGUAGGCGGCCUUCUAAGUCCGAUGUGAAAGUCCUGCUUUUAAGGUGGGAAUUGCAUUGGAAACUGGAGGGCUUGAGUGCAGGAGAGGUAAGUGGAAUUCCCGGUGUAGCGGUGAAAUGCGUAGAGAUCGGGAGGAACACCAGUGGCGAAGGCGACUUACUGGACUGUAACUGACGCUGAGGCGCGAAAGUGUGGGGAGCAAACAGGAUUAGAUACCCCCGUAGUC